rnacentral:tRNA from 1 species
GGCCUGGUGGUCUAGGGGUAUGAUUCUCGCUUCGGGUGCGAGAGGUCCCGGGUUCAAAUCCCGGCCAGGCCC